AUGUUUAUUGCUCUUUAUUGCAGAACAGACACUUCAGAGCAGCAAGUGCUGGUGUGUCUGGGAAGGCGGCGAGGAGGGGGCUGGCCGCAGGAGACCACCUACCCACCCUCAAACCAAGUGAGCUGCUGCUGGAGGACAUGGCUUGGGUGGACCUCGGUGGCCAGAAAUAACUCCUGCGUCUCCAGGAGGCCACAGAUGGAUAGAAAGGAGCUGAAGCCCUUCAGAUGUGUAGGAUGUGUGAUCUACCGGGCUGACAGCACCUCCUGGGACUUGACCUCACCAGGGAGCGUCUGGACAUAUCUGUAUGGACUCUGAUGCGUUCAGCACCGGGGGGUUUAGGCUGGUGGUGUUACUGCAGUGGGGCCUCGGCUUGGUCACUGGAAGAAAGGUGAGGAAAAAGCACAUGGCCCAUUUCCAGAGGCUUGCCAAAGGCUGACGUGCCUUCUUGGCUGGCUCUCGUAUCAGCCAAACGUGUCUAAAACCUUCUCCCGCUUGUACUGAGUGCGGUGGGAUCCAUGAACUCUUAUCUCCUAUGGCUCCAUAGCUUGGGUUUAGGAUUCUCUGGUGUCUAGUAAGCUGCUUGUGCUGAAUGGAG
rnacentral:lncRNA from 1 species